AAGACAAAAUCCUACAAGCUACUGCAACGCUUCCAACUGCAGCUGCACAUAGUGGAGUCCCAUGGGAUUCAGCUUCAAAGUUAGCAAACCCUCAAGCAGCGCCCACGUGUUCUGCUCCACGAAUUUCAUGAGGUACUCGACAUACCUAUCGCUUUUGAUGAUUAUCAUGUUGGAAAAAGAAAUUAGGGCUUCCAAUGACAAACUUUAUCCUCCUCCAUAUCCGUGGAGGACAUGAACAAAGCAUAAUGUGACUGAGAGAGAAAAUAAGUGAAGAAAGGGUCAUCAAAGACGAAGACGAUGGGUAUGAUUGGAGAGAAAAUUAGAAAAUUGAGGGUUAAGAGAUUAUCACUUCCACUCCGCUAAAGGGAAAAACUUUGAGGAAUAGUACAGACAAUGCCUUUCGAUCUCAGGAUCAUUUUUUGUCUCAUUGUACCCGUAAAACAUACUAAUUCGAUAUUUGUCCUUGCAAUUUUGCA